GAUGAACGCUAGCGGGAGGCCUAAUACAUGCAAGUCGAACGGUAACAGGGUAGCAAUACCGCUGACGAGUGGCGCACGGGUGCGUAACACGUACACAAUCUACCUUAUACUGGAGCAUAACCUCGGGAAACUGAGGCUAAAUUCUCCAUAACGAUAUUAAAAAAGGCAUCUUUUUGAUAUUAAAACUCCGGUGGUAUAAGAUGAGUGUGCGUCUGAUUAAGCUAGUUGGUGGGGUAACGGCUCACCAAGGCAACGAUCAGUAGCUGGUCUGAGAGGAUGAUCAGCCACACGGGCACUGAGUCACGGGCCCGACUCCUACGGGAGGCAGCAGUAGGGAAUAGUUGGACAAUGGGCGCAAGCCUGAUCCAGCCAUCCGCGUGAAGGAUUAAGGCCCUCU
rnacentral:rRNA from 1 species